rnacentral:lncRNA from 13 species
GAGCACUACGCGGUUGCCGGCCGCCGCAGUUGCUCUGACCGCUUCUCUUCGCCAAGUACGGAUCUUCCUUCCUGACACUCGCAAUACUCGAGGAACGAUUGCGGUAAUAGCCGAAUGAAUCCAACGACGUCGCCAGCCCUUCAGCCCUUGGAACUCGGUGGGAAGAUAACCGCUUUGUCUUCCGGUUACCAUAAGGACCCUCGGGACAAUCUUGGAUGAUUCACGGAAAGUCAAACGCGCCGAAUUCGGCAUGCACGCACCGUCGAGUCGCUCGUCCUGUAAAAUCAUUUUUUUGCGCGUUACAUUCAAGAAAAACCUUAGGAUCACCUACGACUAACGAGUAGAGAUGGAAAAAGUGCUUUCUCUUUCUCUCUCUCUCUCUCUCUCUCUCUCGCGCGCGCGCGCGCGCGCACGCGUAUCGAUUAGAAAAGUAAAAGUAAUAAUAUCAUUUUCUUAAUGACGUAUCGAUUAUCAUAUCCGAGUAACGAAAACAAAAACAUUUGAUUACAACUGAUCCGUUUCAUCACAAGUGAUUUGAUAGUUACGCAUUCGCGGGAUUCUUCCAAUUAAAUAAUAAACAUGGAUUAGUGUAUCUCGUAACUUUUUGUCAAUGCAAUUAUCAACGCAUUUUGCCAACGCAAUUUUGCCAACGCAAUUGCACACGUUAUUGCAUUAUCACGUAAUAUUACAAAUAUUGCGUAUACGAGGGUCGUCUGAAAAGUUUUGAACCUAACAAAGCUAGAAAUAAGUUCUUUUUAGUCAAAUUCAAUUUUAUUUUUCAACAUAAUCUCCUUUUUGCCAGCGAUGCUUUCACUCCUUUAACCCACUCAAAUAAUAGUUUUGCUCUGCAAAAUAGGCUUCUACGGAUGCGAUUAUUUCCUCGAUGAAAAUUGUUGUCCUGUGAGCCAAACUUUGAGUCUAAAAGACAAAAAAAGUCGCCGGGUCGAAUACAAAGUAUAGACAGUGCGUUAUUUUAAAAUGGAAACAGUAUUUUCUUCUUUUUCAAAUGCGUCCGUUUUUUUGCAUUUUCUGCCUUUAGCUCGUUAAUUAAUGAUGUGUAGGACACCUCCGUUAUUGUUUUAUCUUUUUCAAGAUAGUCAAUAAACAUAAUUCCAUGACUAUCCGAAAAAAACAGUCGCCAUAACCUUCCCGGCCGAUAAAAUCGUAUUCGCCUUCUUUGGAACAAGUUCGCCCUUCGCAGUCCACUAUUUUGAAUGCUCCUUCGUCUCAGGAGUGAAAUGGUGGAUCCAAGUUUCAUCAAGUUAUCGUUCGACGCAAAAAAUCCGACUCGUUUCGCUUAAAUCGUUCCAACAGGGCCUUGGAAAUGUUUAUUCGAGUGCGUUUUUGGUCCAUAGUAAGUGCGACACCCAACGUGCGAUUAGCUUACGUAUGCCUAAUUCUUCAGUCAAUAUAUGACACACACACACACACACACACACACACACACACACACACACACACACACACACACACACACACACACACACACACACGUUCUUUCGAUAUGUUCACAGUCUCUGUUAUAUCUCUGUAUAAUCUUGAUUCGACGUUCGUUCAGUACCAUUUGGUGAACUUUUUCAAUGUUAUCGGUGAUGAUCGCAGUUGUUGGCCAUUCCGAACGCUUAUCAUCAGCCAAGUUGGUACGACCAUGUUUAAAUUCAUCUGCCCAUCUUUUUACGAUGACAAAUAAUGGGUUAGAGUCCCCGUAAACAGUAUCUAACUCGGCUUUAAUUUGCUCAGGAGUAUUACCUUUCAAAUGCAAGAAUUUAAUCACGGCACGUUCAAUUUUUUUCAUUUUUAUAAAAAACACUGACGUUGACUGACACAAAUGAUUGUCAAACAACUGAACGUCCAAAUUGACUAUAAUUUGUUUAGGUAUCUUUCGAACCAUGUACGAUUAUAGUAUCAGAAUGGUUUUGACGAGUAAUACCAUCUUUAUGUUGAAGCGCUCAAAACUUUUCAUACGACCCUCCUAUGAUUGAAAGCAGUGAGGGUGAAAUAUCAUCGUGAAUAAAACUCCUUAUUUCUCGUAUAAUUCGCAUUUAUAUCAUUUCAUUUGAAAAUAUAAAGCGAGAAGAUAGAAAAUAUAAAGCGAUAAAGAGAAAAUCAAUACUUACCAUCGAAAUAAUGUAUUAACGUAUAUUUGUAAGCUAAUACAUGCGUGCACAAGUAUGGGAAAGUACUCGUAACACUCGUUGGUGUGAACAAUUAUAACACAGUCGUCAAUAAAUAAAAGAGAGAAAUCAAAUUAUAUAAUUAGUCAGCCAGAUUAACCAAUAGUAAAUCAUAAGUAAAGCAAUGCGUGAGAUUUUGGUUAAUGAAGCAAAUAUUCACCAAGUUAUGAAAUAAAUUAUCGAUGACAGAAAAAAAAUGAGUUUUGUAUCAAUGCACAAUGUACCUGGAAUUAAUAAAUUUUUUUUUAUACGGGAUGUCGUGUAAUCACACACGCGCGCGCGCGAUUGCCAGAUUAUAACUAGUAUUUCGCUUUAGAAAUCGAUUGCUGCUCUGCUGGAGAUUGCCAUUCAAGAGAUUAUCUUUUUUCACAAUGCUCAUCUAAAGAAAAAGAUGAUAAGAGUUCAUUCGGAGAUUUUUCCGUUUAUCGGAGAAUCAUUCAAAAAGCGAUAUUUUCGAUAAAAAAUCGGAAAACUUGCAACUCACUAUCUUAAUUUGUAGAAAAAUGAGAAAAUAUUGAGGGACGUAAUUGUUUAGAGCUACUUUUGUAAUUUCUCUGUGUCUUCAUAUUAAAAUUUCAAAAUUUUAAAAAUUAAUUACCAGUUUGCUCAUUAUGCUUGAAUAUGUGUACGUGUGUGUGUGUGCGCGCGCGCGCGUGAGAGAGAGAAAGAGAGAGAAAUUUAUCGUACAAAAUAUACUAGAACGUAACAAACUUUCAAAAGUAACGCAUUUAUAAUUAGAAGUCUCUCGCGUCAGACAGUAGUCUAAUAAUACUUUGAUAUUACACAACCGUCGAUUUGCGUAAGCUGAAAAAUGUUUGGCAAAUGCCAGUUAUAUUUAUAAGUUUAUUUUAAUGAAAUGUUUAAUUGAAUCUACCUCAGACUUUAUGAAAACACUGUUGCCGUGUUAGUAAAAUUUUUCUCAUAAUUAUGUUUUAAAAUUAAUUAUGUCAAUGUCGUAAUAAAAUUGGACAAAUAUAAUAAACUUCUUAUAUACCUAUAUGUACAAAAAAAACUUUCUCUUAUUAAUGACAAACGAAAGAAAUGUAACACUUUUGUUAAUCAUACGAUCAAUUUUCCUCUCAUCUCGGUUACCUUGUUAAACCGCAAUAUUGUCUAAAGCUUUUACAAAGCUUUUCUUGUCGAAAAUAUAUACUCCAAAUAGAUAUGGGAAUAUGAGAAUAUCUAUUUUUACAAAUAUUUAAUUAAUAUUUGAUAAUUAUGAUCAGAGAUACACGUACACAUAAAUUUUGAACACGAAUUUGCUUGCUCGUUAAAAAUUUCAGAGUAAUGUAUAAGUUAAAUUUACAUUCGGCAUGUAACAAAAAUUUAUGCAAAUGUUUGAAAAAAGAAUUAUGUAUCUUACUGUCGUAGAUUUUACAAUUAUAUUUAUUGCUAUCGUAAAGAGACAGAUAAACCAUCGUUGUUAACAUACCUAGAACAUGCGAAUAUAUAAUAUAUAGAAAAUUGAUGGAUUCUUUAUAAACCAAAUGGAUUGUAUUUCUGAUAUCGCAUACUGCUUUGUUUUUUCGUACACUUGUUAUAUACAUAUACACCUAAGUAAAGCAAGUGGAAAAGGUUGAAAAUAAGUAGUUCGAGCGAUACGAGAGUCGCCAUAGGGGUGUGAUCACCAUGGAGACCGACUGGUCGAUUUCUCUGCGUGAAAAUGUCCAUCUUUACCACAAUAUAGAGACAUUAAAUUUUUAAUAAGCUUAAUUUUGUAACAUAUUGUAAAAAUUAAAAUGUCUAGCACAAGUUUAACAGUAAUCAAUAUUAGAAACAACAAAUAUUAAAAAUAAUUCGCAUCAAACUCAACUCUAAAAAAAGAAAGAAAUUUCCAGCGCUUUUUACACAAUGAACAAUCAUACAGUGUUGAAAGAUUAAUAUCUUUGAUUUGCCGUUUAAGAGAUUACAGUACAAUAUUUUUAACCAAUAUAUAUUUUCAUUAAACUUCUAAAAU